rnacentral:rRNA from 1 species
CCUACGGGAGGCAGCAGUGAGGAAUAUUGCACAAUGGGGGAAACCCUGAUGCAGCAACGCCGCGUGAGUGAAGAAGUAUUUCGGUAUGUAAAGCUCUAUCAGCAGGGAAGAAGAUGACGGUACCUGAGUACGAAGCCCCGGCCUACGACGGGCCAGCAGGCGCGGUACGACGUAGGGGGCAAGCGUUAUCCGGAUUUACUGGGUGUAAAGGGGGCGUAGACGGGGAGACAGGUCUGAAGUGAAAGCCCGGGGCUCAACCCCGGGACGGCUUUGGAAACUGCCGGACUGGAGUGCUGGAGAGGCAAGCGGAAUUCCUAGUGUAGCGGUGAAAUGCGUAGAUAUUAGGAAGAACCCCAGUGGCGAAGGCGGCUUGCUGGACAGUAACUGACGUUGAUGCUCGAAAGCGUGGGGAGCAAACAGGAUUAGAUACCCUAGUAGUC